ensembl:lncRNA
CCCGUUUCCGGUGCUGUGUACCCGGAAGAUCCUACAUCUUCAUUUGCAUCUCUUAGUAGGCGUCCCCAGAAAGUUUCUUCUCCCCGGGGCCCGCAGUGAACAUUUUGAUGUUAACGGGUGUGGACCAUCAGGAAAGGGCGCCACCCUGGCACUGCCGGAUUAUCACCCUCAGAGAAGCAAAGCAAUUGCCGAACCAUCUCCCGAUAUUUCUUGUGGGUGGGGGAGAGCCUUCUCCUGCCCGGCUCAGCCAGUCCAAUCACCCUCACACAUGUGCGGAGCUCAGUGGGUUUCCAUGCUGGCGCACAGGGAAGAAAACACGUGGAGGAUGCAGAGAAAACCGCGUUAGAAAUGUGCAGAGCCGGGACAGUUUUGAAGCAGCAUUCAAAAUCAGUUGUGGAUCAAGUCAAGAUGAACCCUGAAACAAUACUUUAAAUACCCCCGGAUGAUUUUGAAGGUAUCUGUAAGUGAGAAUAAUUCAUUCUGUUUUAAAGCAUUAAGUUAAUUUUCCCCAAAUGCAACAUAUGAGUUAAAAGAAUCACACCCUUUUUUUAAAAAACGUUGAUGGCAUCCAGCCAGAAACUACCUGCUCAUAAUUUGCUGAUUUCUACAUAGCUCAUCAUUUCACGUUGUAAACUCCAUUGCACAUGGAACACAUAGUUAAGACAGAGGAGCCUGCUAAACGCACAUAUUUGCCAUUGGGCUGGAGUUCUGGUCUUUAAAAUGUGGCACACCCAUUCUUACCCUGCUCUUCCAUAGAAGAGAAGGACAAACUGCGUGGAAUUUGAGAGACUCAAUCCUUUGUUUUAAUCAGACUUCCAGAAAACCAGCGACCUGAAAUGGCAGAGGAGUUCCUCAAUCCUUGUAGACAAAAUAUGAACAACCAGACUUCUCUCCCUUCCAAUGGAAUGUAAAUGGAAAAAAGCAAACCACAGCCACCUACAUUUAGGAGAAGGUUUUUAUUUAUCUCAUUAUCAAGAUCCUUUUAAUUUGCAAAGAGUUUCUUAUGGCAAACAAAUACCUCUUACCCCCCACUUCCGAGAAUGUAGGAACAGAUGAAAGGAAAGUGUAAUGGUUUUGAUCUCAUUAGGACAUCGGCAUUAGUGGGGCAGCAAUUAUAAAAGUAAUUGACUCUGCUUCACCCGGCGUCGGGAGGGGGCCAUGCUGAAGACCCAUCGUGCUCCGAGGUUGGGCUGUCAUCCUUCAUCUUCUGCUGUGUGCCCAUGUGUUAGGUUUUCAGCCCUCAAAGGCAUUCAGUCUUUCUCUGGGACUCAAAGUGCAGCAUAAGACAUAUCUUGGAAUGUUGAUUACUGCUGCCUGGGAUUGACUGUUCAGACACAGCUCCAUCAGGGAAACCAAAUAUGUUGCUGCCACCCUGACAUUUUCGUGUUUUUCUACCUGAUCAUCUGUACAGGACAAGAGAAUUUCUUCUCUGUGGUGACCCAUCAGAAUUAAUGAUCCCAGCAUACCCAGUAGUUUUUAAUGUGCAGUAUGGAUUAAUUCAUAAGACAUCGUCUGACUCAGGUUUGUUUAUACAAAAAUGUGCUCUGUCCACACCAACAUGGCACAUGUAUACAUAUGUAACAAACCUGCACUUGUGUACAUGUACCCUAGAACUUAAAGUAUAAUAAUAAAAAAACCUGGCUAUUGGGCACUAUGCUCACUACCUGGGGUUGUACGCCAACUCUCACCAUCACACAAUAUACCCAUGUAACAACCUGCACAUGUACCCUCUGAAUCUAAAAUAAAAGUUGAAAUAUUUUCUAAAAAAAGUCCUCUGUCUACUAUGAAUUUAUAUGACCCAUGUUUUUCAGUAACCUUUAAUUUUAGAAUAGUUUUAAAUUCACAGACUAUGUUUAAGAUACACCAGAGAGUUCCCAUGCCCUCUGUAUCCAGUUUGUGUUAUUGAUAAUGUGUUAUUAGGGUAUAUUUGCCACAAGGGAACCGAUAUGGAUGUGUUCACCUUUACUAAAGCUCAUAUUGGAUUCAUGUUUCCUCACUUUUGUCCCCCAUGUCAUCCUCUGUCUCAGGAUCCCAUGAAGGACACUGGGUGACUUUGAGCUGUCAUGGUCUCCGAGGCUGUUCUUGGCUGUCAUAGAUUCUCAGACUUUCCUUGCUUUCGAUGACGUUGACAGUUUUGAGGGAGACUGGUCAGGUGCUUGGUGGAUUGUCACUCAAAUGGAGCUUUUCUGAUGUCUUUCUCAUAAUUAGAUGGUAGCUAAAGACAUUUGGGAGGGAGACCACAGAGGCAAAGCGCUGUUCUCAUCACAGCACAUCAAGGGCACACCAAGGC